AUUUGAAAUCUCCGAUGCUUGCAUCGGCGAGUUGUAGUUGCGAGAAGCACUUUCUAGGCGGAUCGGUGGUGCCUAAGUUGCUUGGAACAGCACGUCGCAGAGGGUGACAACCCCGUCUGUGGCGCGACCGGCCGCUGACGAUGUGCUUUCGAAGAGUCGGGUUGUUUGGGAAUGCAGCCCAAAAUGGGUGGUAAACUCCAUCUAAAGCUAAAUAUUGGCGUGAGACCGAUAGCGAACAAGUACCGUGAGGGAAAGAUGAAAAGAACUUUGAAAAGAGAGUUAAAAAGUACGUGAAACCGUUGAAAGGGAAACGAAUGGACUCAGCAAUGCGCCCUUUGAGAUUCAGCCGGUGGGUGGGAUCGGCCUCGGGUUUGCGGAUCUGAAUGGACCGCGGCCCGGUGCUCGUUUCUCCUGGCCGUCGCACUUCUCUUGGGCGCGCGUCAACGUCGGUUGGGACUGGGUCUGAAAGGUGCCGGGAAGGUAGGUGUGGGCCUUCGGGUCCGUUCUGUUACAGCCCGGUUCUCUCAUGGCUCGGGCCCGACCGAGGCGUUGCAGGGCAUGCCUCUUGUGGCUAGGGUCCCCUCCUUCCGGCCGGCUGUCGAAUGUGGUGGACUGCUUGCAGUGCUCGACGAACGCUGCCGGUCGUUGGGGCGGUGAUCUCGUACCAUGCCCUUAGGAUGUUGGCGGUCAUAUGGGUCCAUCCGACCCGUCUUGAAACACGGACCAAGGAGUCUAACAUGUGCGCGAGUCUUAGGGUGAGUGAAACCCCGAGGCGCAAUGAAAGUGAAGGCGGCUCCGGCCGCUGAGGUGAGAUCCGUGGCCCUCGGGGCCGCGGCGCAUCAUCGACCGACCUAUUCUA
rnacentral:rRNA from 1 species